GGCCGCUCCUUUCAACGGACAAUUGAAAGAAAUUUAGAGAAAAAAAACAACAGUAACUGUCCAAACGGCUAGAUUUUCAUAGCUUUAAUUGUCUUCGGUGAUGAGAUUGAGCUGCAUUUGCAAUUGCAAUCAAGCAAUUAUACAAUUUCAUAGCAUGGCUGUGCUUUCCGGUAGUACUGUGAUCAUUAGGUCUGGAGAAUUAUAGACAUUCGCUGCUGUAUUUCAUAGCAUGGCUUGUGGUGGGAUGUGCUUUACGGUAUAUUGUGAUUAUUACCUGGAGCGUUCGCUGCUUUAUUUCAAGACAAGCAUCUCGAGGAGUGACAGGACAGGGGUGUUUUACAAGGCUGAGGACAUGCUAGCAGAGUGAAACAGAGUUUAAGUGGGAGAUGAAGACAUUAGGGCAUCGCAAUCUGCUUUCUCUACUUGUUGUUUUGGGUGAAAUGUUCAAUUGCAAGCAAGCAAUUAUACAUAUUUGUGGAUGAUGCAACUCUAUUCAAAUUUCAUAGCAUGGCUGUGCAGAGGAAUUGGUCACCAGCAUGGAGUCAUUAUGAUUAGUAGCAAAAGCAUGAAGGCUCGAUGGACUAUCUGAGGCUUAAUCAGUAUACUGCAUACUACAUGUACGACACUCACCAACCAAAACCAAAUAUAACAGACUACCUGAUGGACUGGAAUGUAGGUUUUGCAUGAAUGAAAGACCCUGGCAAUUUGACACUGGAAGUUGAGCUUCGUGAUACAACGAGGGACCUAUUAUAAAGACUAAGUUAAUAAUUUGGUAUAGGCAAUGAAAGAAGCAUCUGGGACUUAAUCAGCGUACUGCAUACUGCAUGUAUGAUACUCACCAACCAAAACCAUAACAGACUACCAGAUGGACUGGAAUGUAGUUUUUGCAUGUUUGGGUUUUUUUACAUUGAAGCAGAGAACAGAACAAUAUCAGCAAUAAACAGCGAUAGAACAGAACUUCAGGGUUCAUUUGGACUGGGAGAAAUAUUACAAAAACAAAUGUCAAGGAGUAUUAUUAUUUAAAAGAUGUAUAUAUCUUAGUUGUAAAUAGAUUUGUGUACUGAUGAGGUCUAAAUUACUUGUAAACAUUGUUUAAGAAUAUUAAUUAAUAAAAAAUAUAUUAUAUUUUUA